UUCACAGGGGCCUCCCAGCCCAUGCAACAGGCCCCCAUCUGGCCCGAGUAGCUCAUUGCUACUGAGGGAGGGUGGGGGAAACACACCCUGGCCCAGGGGGCAGAGGACACACUGUUCCCACCUGGCCCCAGGAGACCUCAGGCCACUCCUGGCCACAGCAGGACAAAGCUCUGACCUCUCCUUUCUGCCAACAGAGCUGCUUCCUGGGAUGAGGGGUGGGGGGCCCAGCGAACUGACUCUGCUCAGGGGCGCUGCCCAGCAAAGUCUCUCCCCGACCACUCUGGGCCCCUCCAGCCACCUCAAAGGGGCCUUCAAAGCUGUGGAAAGCAGAAGGAAUCCCCCCCUCCCCUCUUGCUCCAUUACUAGGCUGGAAGGAGACCUCAUCAUCCCAGAGAGAGGGGUGAGGGAGAGAGGGUGGGGGCUCUGUUCCCAGGCCUCCCCCUGCUCCAGGCAGGAAGCAGUGGGGCAGAGGCGGGCUGACGUGGCUUCAAGGGCCUGGGUGGUGCUCUAGGGAGCUCUUACACAACAGCACAGAUCCGGCCCGUCCAGGAACUCAUUGGCGUGGGGCAGGGACUGAUUUCCCCAGGAGAAGAGGGCCUGGCUGAGGUUGAGGGAGUGAGAAGGACUGCCAGCCAUGGGCACCGGGGAGUCGACAAGAGAGGUGCAGGAGGCGGCUCCGGGGCUGUAUCCAGAGCAGGAAGCUGGUGCAGUUCCCAGGGCCGGGGUCUGUCCUCAUAGGAGGCUCUCGGCAUCAUAGUAGUCUGGGGAAACAAGAACCUCAUCUUGACUCCCUCCUGUCUCAGUGGACCCCAAAGAGGUAAAGGGAAGGGGACAGGCCAGUUGCCUGCAGCAGUGAUGUUAGGAAACCCCCAAACCCCACCAGAGGGCACAGGGCCCUCCUGGCCUCCUGAUUCACUCCCAGGCCUGGGCCCCGCUGCCCACCACCCCAGCCCUACCUGAAGCCGGGGGUACAUCAGCACCCACAGUCCCUGUGGCACUGGGGGGUGGGGGUGGGGGCACAGCUCUCCUGAGAUGGGGGAAAGAAAAAGACCCCCAUCAGAGGCCCAGGGGUGGCCUCUGGAGUUUCACCCACAAGUUAUCUCCACCGACCACCAGCCCCUGCACAGCUCUUCUGCAACUUCCAGCCCAGAGCAGAACCCUGGCAGCACCCAGCCUCACUUACACCUCCCUUUCCCUGGAGGCAGGACAGUGCUGAAUCCUGGGCACGUCCUGCAAGUAGGGCUGACAAGCAGGGGUGGGGAAGAAGGGGGCUGGCCAGGGCAGCAGGGCACCCGGGGAGGGCAUCAAAUAGGGCAAGUAGUGGUGGUGAAACACCAAAGGCCCUUUCUCCCGCACGUCCAUCUCCUCCUCCUCCUCCUCAGGCUCUUCCUGUGGAACCUCCAGGUAGACCUGGGGAUUGUGCAAAACAGGGAGGGGAAAUGAGAAUCUACCAUCAGGCUCUCCCCACCGCCACUCCUCCAUUCCCCUAAGUUAUUUCCUCCAGAUAGGCUUUGUAAGAAUGGCUUGUGGCCAGGCAUGGUGGCUCACGCCUGUAAUCCCAGCACUGUGGGAGGCCGAGGCGGGCGGAUCACAAGGUCAGGAGAUUGAGACCAUCCUGGCUAACACGGUGAAACCCC
rnacentral:lncRNA from 1 species